AGCCUGACCAGCCAUGCCGCGUGCAGGAAGACGGCCUUCUGGGUUGUAAACUGCUUUUCUACGGGAAGAAAAUGCCCUUGCGAGGGAAAUUGCCGGUACCGUAGGAAUAAGCACCGGCUAACUCCGUGCCAGCAGCCGCGGUAAUACGGAGGGUGCAAGCGUUGUCCGGAUUUAUUGGGUUUAAAGGGUGCGUAGGCGGAUCUUUAAGUCAGUGGUGAAAGCCUGCAGCUUAACUGUAGAACUGCCAUUGAUACUGGAGGUCUUGAGUACACUAGAGGUAGGCGGAAUUUAUGGUGUAGCGGUGAAAUGCAUAGAUACCAUAAAGAACACCUAUAGCGUAGGCAGCUUACUGGAGUGUAACUGACGCUGAGGCACGAAAGCAUGGGGAGCGAACAGGAUUAGAUACCCUGGUAGUCCAUGCCGUAAACGAUGAUUACUCGAUGUUGGCGAUAUACUGUCAGCGUCCAAGCGAAAGCGUUAAGUAAUCCACCUGGGGAGUACGCUCGCAAGAGUGAAACUCAAAUG
rnacentral:rRNA from 1 species